UACAGGGGGUGCGAGCGUUGCUCGGAAUUACUGGGCGUAAAGCGUACGCAGGCGGACCUGCAAGUCGGGAGUGAAAGCCCGGGGCUCAACUCCGGAACUGCCUUUAAGACUGCAUCGCUUGAAUCCAGGAGAGGUGAGUGGAAUUCCGAGUGUAGAGGUGAAAUUCGUAGAUAUUCGGAAGAACACCAGUGGCGAAGGCGGCUCACUGGACUGGUAUUGACGCUGAGGUGCGAAAGCGUGGGGAGCAAACAGG
rnacentral:rRNA from 1 species